GCUAGGUGCAGUGGUGCACGCCUGUAAUCCCAGUGACUCGGGAGACUGAGGCAGGAGGAUUGCGUGUUUGUGGCCAGCCUCAGCAACUUAGUGACGCCCUAAGCAACUUAUCAAGACCCAGUCUCAA
rnacentral:sRNA from 1 species